AGACGAGAGAGGAAGUGAUAUCAGUUUCCGUUAAAUGUUUCGGAUAUUGCGUUCUCAAAAUGGUCUUAAAAUAUCCACAUUUAAUCCCUUGUCUUUUUUGUUGUUAUUCUCUUCAAGUUGUAAAUCUCCUAGCUCAAGGAACUGUUAACGGUCGUACACAGGAAGUAAGAGACCGCUAUUUGUUGCGGUAGACCGGUAUAACGCUAGACAUCAGGUUCCUCUCUCAGCUUAGGCUUCCUUUGAGUUUAUUUGGCCAAUAAAAGCAGACGUAACCCGGCAAAGCCACGCCUCCUUGAAGUGACGAUGCGCGGGCUUCCUGUGAACACUGGCAUCACAAACUGUUGCACCGCUUGUUUGUUAUUUAUGUUAUCAAAGUAGACGACGCGUUAAAUGUGAAAUAACUGCUUUGUAGGAUUUGAAGUGAAUCGAAAUCUGCUUGUUGUCCGUAUCAAGUAAAAUAUACUUACUUCUGAGACUAGGAAGAACCAAAGUGUCGCUGCAAAAAACGACUUCAAUCAGUUUGUUUUAAAAUGACACUUCCCUGAUUGGAGUUCAAGCCACUCCUUGAUUGACUCGACAUGGCAGACAGUUUUUUCAAUUUGGAGGAUGAGCCGCUGCCCAGCUUCCUUUCCAGCUCCCUGGAUAGCACGAGUGGCCCUGUUGUGCCCUGUGGGAACGUGACAUUGGGCUCAGGCCCCGGCUUUCCCGUGGCUGCGUCUACUGUAGCGAAGAUUAGAGCUGGGGCUGACAUCAGAGGGAAUGUGGAUGAUGUGUCAUACCUGGAGGGGGGUCAGCUGUCAUCUAAUGGAGAGAAGGCCAAUUUCUGCCUCAGUUUUAAGGAUGAUAUGUGAGUAACUACCUACACGUUGAGACUGUUUGUGUGUCAUUCAUUUUAUUUUUCUCCUUCAUGAUGCAGAGAUAUAUGCC
rnacentral:lncRNA from 1 species